CUCAUGUGUGGAGUUUCUAUUGCAGGCCUUCACAUUGGUGAGCUAGCCAAGAGCUGAACCUACAAUCUUCUGAGACAAUGGAGCUGCUCUAAAAAGGGUCAGCUGAGAACCUGGUCAUGAACAGUAACACCUUAAUCAAGCAUUGUGGAAGUCUGAAACUAUACCCCUAAAUACUCUGAGUUAUGUGUCCAGAGCACAAUCUUGUCCACUAUUAUGUGGAUCAGAAGUUGAAGACUCACAUGCGCAGCACUUGGCACUCAGUGGGAUCUCUUCCAAGGCGUUCAUUCUCUGGACAAGUUUUUCUUCAAAGCCAUAAACAUCUGGAAACUGUGCACUAUUCUUGCUAUAGAAAUCAAACUCUCAAGUCCUUAUUUGAUCUCAUGGGGAACAUUCCCACUGCUUUCUUCCGCUGUGCCUUAGAAUUUGGUUUUCUAUUUGACAGAUUAUUUUCCUAGGUGAUGAGGAACCAGUAUCAAUUAGUUUUUUUGUUUGGUUGGUUGGUUUUGUUUUUUGACAGCUGCAUUAUUUAACUAAAUAAUUAAAUCUUGAAGAGAGGAGGAUUUAUACUGAGCUGAGCUUGUUAUAAAAGUAAAGCUAGUCUCAUUUGUCCUUCCUAGGUUUUACCUGUUCUAGAAAGAUGAGGGCUUCAAGAAAUGAAGUUAUUAACCAUGCUUCCUUUUGUGACACCUACACCUAGGAAAAGGAAUGCAUAAACAGGGCAGUUUAUACAGUGAUUUUUUGAGGCACGCUUGCUCAUUCUGAGUAUCAGGCUUUGGGACCUCCUAAGUUGUUUUCUAAGAAAUAACAGUCGAUACGCUCACAUAAUUGAGACAUUAAUAGCUUUUCCAAAAGAAACAGAUCUUGCUUUAUCUGAACAUCGCAACAUUUGGGCUUGGCCUGAUCUUUGAAGUUGGAAAUUUCCACAGCCAGAGGCUCGAAAACAGGUUUUCAUAUAAGGCUCUUGUAUUUGGCCAAAGAUCUUCUUUAAAAGGAAGAGAUUUAAAGGAAUGUUGGAUAGUUUUCACUAUGUAAUCAUGACUUUCCCGUUUUCUCUGUUACUACCAUCAGGUAAUUUUCCCUUCAUAAAGAAUUGUAUUUAGUAUUUUAUUUUUUAACUAAACAUAACCCACUGUUUUUUGUCACAGCUGUAAUGUACCCCCCUGGAGUUUGGGAAUGCAGAUCCCUAUAGCCUGAGAAAAUCCCUGUGCAUCUCAGGAAAGCAAUGGAAAACUCACUUUGAUUAAAAUAUCACGAAAAUGGAAGUAUGAAGUGCAAAUGAGAGAAACACAUCUUUCAUUUUCAUGUCAAGCACUUGAAUAUCAUGUGGAAAAAAUCAAAGCUUACUUUUUGUGACUGCAGGAUGUGGGCCCUUACAUGAACAGAAGCACCAGAGGAGCUGGCCUGUUGAGCAUCGCAUAAACAGGCAUUCAG